AAACGUCCCUGGUUCCGGGGCCUCGUUGAUCACCGAGGACGAGCCCCCCAGGGCAUGACGCUGGCAUUGCACUGCGCUUCCGUUGACCCCUGCCACUACACCAAACUGAGGCAGAUCGGGCAUGCAAGUUGUUUAAAUCGGCUCAGCGCAAGAGAAGGCGCCAUCGCCUC
rnacentral:snRNA from 1 species